UGUAAGCGUAUACCAAAGUUGUUGCAGUUAAAACGCUCGUAGUCGGAAUUUGGCAGUUCCGGAUGUGUGCACGUCGUGUGCGCACUUCGCGGGGAUUGCUUUUGUGGUCUUGCGUAGGAUGAGGCACUUUUAUUAGUGAACGUCCUCACGCAACCACUUUUUACUGUGAGAAAAUCAGAGUGCUCAAAGCAGGCAUUUGCCGUGAAUGUAUUAGCCUGGAAUAAUAGAAUAGGACUUGGUUCUAUUUUGUUGGUUUGUUGGGACUGAGUAAUGAUUAAGAGGGACAGUUGGGGGCAUUUGUAUUUCGGUGCUAGAGGUGAAAUUCUUAGAUUACCGAAAGACAAACUGCUGCGAAAGCGUCUGCCAAGGAUGUUUUCAUUGA
rnacentral:rRNA from 1 species